rnacentral:lncRNA from 1 species
GAUGGACAGGUGGAGAAGAGGACGACAGCUCCGCCGGCGGCUGCAUCACCAGAGGCGACGCCGCCGCCGCUGUUGCCGCAUUUGGCUGCACUCGAAUGACAAGUGGGAAGGAAGUGACUCGAAGUGACUCGAUGGACAGGUGGAGAAGAGGACGACAGCUCCGCCGGCGGCUGCAUCACCNNNNNNNNNNNNNNNNNNNNNNNNNNNNNNNNNNNNNNNNNNNNNNNNNNCUGCCAACGCCACAACCCCCAACGCCAACUCCAACGCUGCCAAGGCAGCUGCCACCACACCCGUCAUCAAUGCCACGGCGCCUCCCGCAGCCGCCACACCCGCAGCCAACGCCAUACCCAUCACCGUCGCCGCCACCACAAUUACCGCCACCGCAGCCACACCCGCCGCCAACGCCACACCCGCCAACGACAACUCCAACGCCGUCAAGGCAAAUGCAACCACUCCCGUCACCGAUGCCAUUGCACCUGCCGCAGCCGCCACACCCGCCGCCACUGCCACACCCGCUAAGGCCGACUCCAACGCCGCCAACGCAAAUGCCACCACACCCGUCAACGAUGCCGCUGCACCUGCAAUAGCCGCCAAGCACCCCGCCAACGCCACACCCGCCACCGUCGCCGCCACCGCAGCCACACCCGCCGCCAACACCACACCCGCCAACGCCAACUCCAACGCCGCCAGGUAAAUGCCACCACACACGUCACCAAUGCCACCGCACCUCCCGCAGCCGCCACACCCGCCGCCAACGCCACACCCGUCAUCAUCGCCGCCACCGGCACCGCCACCGUCACAUCCAUAGCCACCACCUCCACCGCAGCCACACCCGCCGCCAACGGCACACCCGCCAACGCCAACUCCAACGCCGCCAAGGCAAAUGCAACCACUCCGGUCACCGAUGCCACCGCACCUCCCGCAGCCGCCACACCCACCGCCACCGCCACACCCGCCAUCGUCGCCGCCACCGUCACCGCCACCGUCGCAUCCAUAGCCACCACCUCCACCGCAGCCACACCCGCCGCCAACGCCACACCCGCUUACGCCAACUCCAACGCCGCCAGGUAAAUGCCACCACACACGUCACCAAUGCCACCGCACCUCCCGCAGCCGCCACACCCGCCGCCACCGCCACACCCGCCAUCGUCGCCGCCACCGUCACCGCCACCGUCCCAUCCAUAGCCACCACCUCCACCGCAGCCACACCCGCCGCCAACGCCACACCCGCCAAGCCAACUCCAACGCCGCCAGGCAAAUGCCACCACACACGUCACCAAUGCCACCGCACCUCCCGCAGCCGCCACACCCGCCGCCAACGCCACACCCGCCACCGGCACCGGCACCGCUGCCUCCACAACCGCUACCACGGCCAUCGCAGACACACCCGCCGCCAACGCCACACCUACCGACACCGCAGCGACACCUGCCGCAGCCGCCACCGCCGCCACAUCCGACACAACUGCCACAACCUACGCAACCGCAACACCCGCCAACGCCCAUGCCAAAUCGUAAGCCAACGCAUCCAUCACCGGCGCCGCCACAAACGUCACCCCCGCACCGUCGCCACUCGAAGCGACAUGUGGGGGAUGCGGAUGGAUUGACAGGGGGGGAAACAUGAGGGCAGCUCCGCCGGCGGCUGCAUCACCAGAGGCGACGCCGCCGCCGCUGUUGCCGCAUUUGCGGCACUCGAAUGACAAGUGGGAAGGAAGUGACUCGAAGUGACUCGAUGGACAGGUGGAGAAGAGGACGACAGCUCCGCCGGCGGCUGCAUCACCAGAGGCGACGCCGCCGCCGCUGUUGCCGCAUUUGCGGCACUCGAAUGACAAGUGGGAAGGAAGUGACUCGAAGUGACUCGAUGGACAGGUGGAGAAAGAGGACGACAGCUCCGCCGGCGGCUGCAUCACCAGAGGCGACGCCGCCGCCGCUGUUGCCGCAUUUGCGGCACUCGAAUGACAAGUGGGAAGGAAGUGACUCGAAGUGACUCGAUGGACAGGUGGAGAAAGAGGACGACAGCUCCGCCGGCGGCUGCAUCACCAGAGGCGACGCCGCCGCCGCUGUUGCCGCAUUUGGCUGCACUCGAAUGACAAGUGGGAAGGAAGUGACUCGAAGUGACUCGAUGGACAGGUGGAGAAGAGGACGACAGCUCCGCCGGCGGCUGCAUCACCAGAGGCGACGCCGCCGCCGCUGUUGCCGCAUUUGCGGCACUCGAAUGACAAGUGGGAAGGAAGUGACUCGAAGUGACUCGAUGGACAGGUGGAGAAGAGGACGGCAGCUCCGCCGGCGGCUGCAUCACCAGNNNNNNNNNNNNNNNNNNNNNNNNNNNNNNNNNNNNNNNNNNNNNNNNNNNNNNNNNNNNNNNNNNNNNNNNNNNNNNNNNNNNNNGCCACCGUCACAUCCAUAGCCACCACCUCCACCGCAGCCACACCCGCCGCCAACGCCACACCCGCUUACGCCAACUCCAACGCCGCCAGGUAAAUGCCACCACACACGUCACCAAUGCCACCGCACCUCCCGCAGCCGCCACACCCGCCGCCAACGCCACACCCGCCAUGGUCGCCGCCACCGUCACCGCCACCGUCACAUCCAUAGCCACCACCUCCACCGCAGCCACACCCGCCGCCAACACCACACCCGCCAACGCCAACUCCAACGCCGCCAGGCAUAUGCCACCACACCCGUCACCAAUGCCACCGCACCUCCCGCAGCCGCCACACCCGCCGCCAACGCCACACCCGCCAUGGUCGCCGCCACCGUCACCGCCACCGUCACAUCCAUAGCCACCACCUCCACCGCAGCCACACCCGCCGCCAACACCACACCCGCCAACGCCAACUCCAACGCCGCCAGGCAUAUGCAACCACUCCCGUCACCAAUGCCACCGCACCACCCGCAGCCGCCACACCCGCCGCCAACGCCACACCCGCCACCGGCACCGGCACCGCUGCCUCCACAACCGCUACCACGGCCAUCGCAGACACACCCGCCGCCAACGCCACACCUACCGACACCGCAGCGACACCUGCCGCAGCCGCCACCGCCGCCACAUCCGACACAACUGCCACAACCUACGCAACCGCAACACCCGCCAACGCCCAUGCCAAAUCGUAAGCCAACGCAUCCAUCACCGGCGCCGCCACAAACGUCACCCCCGCACCGUCGCCACUCGAAGCGACAUGUGGGGGAUCGAAGUGACUCGAUGGACAGGUGGAGAAGAGGACGACAGCUCCGCCGGCGGCUGCAUCACCAGAGGCGACGCCGCCGCCGCUGUUGCCGCAUUUGCGGCACUCGAAUGACAAGUGGGAAGGAAGUGACUCGAAGUGACUCGAUGGACAGGUGGAGAAGAGGACGACAGCUCCGCCGGCGGCUGCAUCACCAGAGGCGACGCCGCCGCCGCUGUUGCCGCAUUUGCGGCACUCGAAUGACAAGUGGGAAGGAAGUGACUCGAAGUGACUCGAUGGACAGGUGGAGAAGAGGACGACAGCUCCGCCGGCGGCUGCAUCACCAGAGGCGACGCCGCCGCCGCUGUUGCCGCAUUUGCGGCACUCGAAUGACAAGUGGGAAGGAAGUGACUCGAAGUGACUCGAUGGACAGGUGGAGAAGAGGACGACAGCUCCGCCGGCGGCUGCAUCACCAGAGGCGACGCCGCCGCCGCUGUUGCCGCAUUUGCGGCACUCGAAUGACAAGUGGGAAGGAAGUGACUCGAAGUGACUCGAUGGACAGGUGGAGAAGAGGACGACAGCUCCGCCGGCGGCUGCAUCACCAGAGGCGACGCCGCCGCCGCUGUUGCCGCAUUUGCGGCACUCGAAUGACAAGUGGGAAGGAAGUGACUCGAAGUGACUCGAUGGACAGGUGGAGAAGAGGACGACAGCUCCGCCGGCGGCUGCAUCACCAGAGGCGACGCCGCCGCCGCUGUUGCCGCAUUUGCGGCACUCGAAUGACAAGUGGGAAGGAAGUGACUCGAAGUGACUCGAUGGACAGGUGGAGAAGAGGACGACAGCUCCGCCGGCGGCUGCAUCACCAGAGGCGACGCCGCCGCCGCUGUUGCCGCAUUUGCGGCACUCGAAUGACAAGUGGGAAGGAAGUGACUCGAAGUGACUCGAUGGACAGGUGGAGAAGAGGACGACAGCUCCGCCGGGGGCUGCAUCACCAGAGGCGACGCCGCCGCCGCUGUUGCCGCAUUUGCGGCACUCGAAUGACAAGUGGGAAGGAAGUGACUCGAAGUGACUCGAUGGACAGGUGGAGAAGAGGACGACAGCUCCGCCGGGGGCUGCAUCACCAGAGGCGACGCCGCCGCCGCUGUUGCCGCAUUUGCGGCACUCGAAUGACAAGUGGGAAGGAAGUGACUCGAAGUGACUCGAUGGACAGGUGGAGAAGAGGACGACAGCUCCGCCGGCGGCUGCAUCACCAGAGGCGACGCCGCCGCCGCUGUUGCCGCAUUUGCGGCACUCGAAUGACAAGUGGGAAGGAAGUGACUCGAAGUGACUCGGUGGACAGGUGGAGAAGAGGACGGCAGCUCCGCCGGCGGCUGCAUCACCAGAGGCGACGCCGCCGCCGCUG